rnacentral:tRNA from 1 species
GGGCCCGUAGCUCAGCCAGGUAGAGCGCCCGGCUGAUAACCGGGCGGUCGGGGGUUCGAAUCCCCCCGGGCCCACCA